rnacentral:rRNA from 1 species
UACGAAGGUCCCAAGCGUUAUCCGGAUUUAUUGGGUUUAAAGGGUGCGUAGGCGGACUGUUAAGUCAGUGGUGAAAGCUCCAUGCCUAACAUGGAAAUUGCCAUUGAUACUGACGGUCUUGAGUACAUUUGAAGUGGGCGGAAUGUGUCAUGUAGCGGUGAAAUGCUUAGAUAUGACACAGAACACCGAUUGCGUAGGCAGCUCACUAAACUGUAACUGACGCUGAGGCACGAAAGCGUGGGGAGCAGACAGG